AUAGAACAUUAUGCCUGGAAUGGUUUAUGUUUCAAAUGAUUUAUCGCCAUAGGAUGGGACUGCGGCCUAUCAGUUUGUUGGUGAGGUAAUGGCCCACCAAGACUAUUACAGGUACGGGCUCUGAGAGGAGUAGCCCGGAGAUGGGUACUGAGACACGGACCCAGGCCCUAUGGGGCGCAGCAGGCGAGAAAACUUUGCAAUGUGCGAAAGCACGACGAGGUUAAUCCGAGUGGUUUCUGCUAAAGAGACCUUUUGUCAGUCCUAGAAACACUAACGAAUAAGGGGUGGGCAAGUUCUGGUGUCAGCCGCCGCGGUAAAACCAGCACCUCAAGUGGUCAGGAUGAUUAUUGGGCCUAAAGCAUCCGUAGCUCGUUUUGUAAGUUUUCGGUUAAAUCCAUGCGCUUAACGUAUGGGCUGCCGGGAAUACUGCAUAACUAGGAAGUGGGAGAGGUAGACGGACUCGGUAGGAAGGGGUAAAAUCCUUUGAUCUAUUGAUGACCACCUGUGGCGAAGCGGUCUACCAGAACGCGUUCGACGGUGAGGGAUGAAAGCUGGGGGAGCAAACCGGAUUAGACCGCGGGUAGUCCCAGCUGUAAACUAUGCGGACUCCUGAUGCAUGGCUUGUGGCAAUGCCUGCUGGGGCAAACCGUUAACUUUGCCGCCUGGGAAGUACGUAGCCCUAUGAAAUUAACGGUUUGGCGGGGACACUCCGGCAAUUGUU
rnacentral:rRNA from 1 species